AGUGAACGCUGGCGGUAGGCCUAACACAUGCAAGUCGAACGGCAGCACAGUAAGAGCUUGCUCUUACGGGUGGCGAGUGGCGGACGGGUGAGGAAUACAUCGGAAUCUACUUUUUCGUGGGGGAUAACGUAGGGAAACUUACGCUAAUACCGCAUACGACCUACGGGUGAAAGCAGGGGAUCUUCGGACCUUGCGCGAUUGAAUGAGCCGAUGUCGGAUUAGCUAGUUGGCGGGGUAAAGGCCCACCAAGGCGACGAUCCGUAGCUGGUCUGAGAGGAUGAUCAGCCACACUGGAACUGAGACACGGUCCAGACUCCUACGGGAGGCAGCAGUGGGGAAUAUUGGACAAGGGGCGCAAGCCUGAUCCAGCCAUACCGCGUGGGUGAAGAAGGCCUUCGGGUUGUAAAGCCCUUUUGUUGGGAAAGAAAAGCAGCAGGUUAAUACCCCGCUGUUCUGACGGUACCCAAAGAAUAAGCACCGGCGAACUUCG
rnacentral:rRNA from 1 species